CACUCCUACGGGAGGCAGCAGUGGGGAAUAUUGCACAAUGGGCGCAAGCCUGAUGCAGCCAUGCCGCGUGUAUGAAGAAGGCCUUCGGGUUGUAAAGUACUUUCAGCGGGGAGGAAGGCGAUAAGGUUAAUAACCUUGUUGAUUGACGUUACCCGCAGAAGAAGCACCGGCUAACUCCGUGCCAGCAGCCGCGGUAAUACGGAGGGUGCAAGCGUUAAUCGGAAUUACUGGGCGUAAAGCGCACGCAGGCGGUCUGUCAAGUCGGAUGUGAAAUCCCCGGGCUCAACCUGGGAACUGCAUUCGAAACUGGCAGGCUAGAGUCUUGUAGAGGGGGGUAGAAUUCCAGGUGUAGCGGUGAAAUGCGUAGAGAUCUGGAGGAAUACCGGUGGCGAAGGCGGCCCCCUGGACAAAGACUGACGCUCAGGUGCGAAAGCGUGGGGAGCAAACAGGAUUAGAAACCCCUGUAGUCCCAUGA
rnacentral:rRNA from 1 species